GCUGGGCGCGGUGGCACGUGCCUGCAGUCCCAGCUACUCGGGAGGCCGAGGUUGGAGGAUCGCUUGAGCCCAGGAGUUCUGGCUGCAGUGCGCUAUGCCGAUUUGGUGUCUGCACUAAGUUCGGCAUCAAUACGGUGACCUCCCGGGAGCAGGGGACCACCAGGUUGCCUAAGGAGGGGUGAACCGGACCAGGUCAGAAACGGAGCAGGUCAAAAACUCCCGUGCUGAUCAGUAGUGGGAUUGUGCCUGUGAAUAGCCACUGCACUCCAGCCUGGGCAACAUAGAGAGACCCCGUCUCU
rnacentral:SRP_RNA from 1 species